ACUUCAAGGACAGGGAUAGAUAUGUACAAGGGGACUUCCGAUUCAGACGCGGAUACUGCAAGAACAAUCCCAGGAAAAUGAUGAAGACAUGGGCUGAGAAAGAAAUGAGGAAUCUGAAGAGGUGGGCAUGCUCCAGGAUGGCAAGAUGUGCAUCCUCAUGAUCCUCAAGUUCAUGAUGCAGCCAACCAUGUUGUGAAGAGCCUUCAACAAAAGUCCAAUUCAUUGUUCCCUUAUGAGCUUCAAGAGAUUGUCCAUGCUAAGGCAGAGAUCAUAUUGUUCAAAUAAAGGAUGGUGCAUAGUUGGUGCUGGGAAGGCAGGUGGAGAGCUAGAUUUGAUCCCACAUCCCACCACUUCCUGAUAUUAGUCUUGAUUUCUCUCAAGUAUUAUGUACCAAUUCAUUAUCAAAGAUUCAAAGUACUAGGUCGAUCAUUUUACUUUUGGGUUUAGUGAACAUAUGCCACUUUGGCUUUUAGGUUUCAUGAUUUUGUGGAACAAUGACUAAUAUGAAUGCAUCUUGGUG